CACACCGAUCAGCUCUAACAUAGGAGAAGUUGAACAUCAAGUUGAAAAUAUAUAAGUGUUAAAUUAAUAAUAUAAUAAGUGUUUAGUUAAUUAUUGAUAAAUUCACUUGUACUGUUUUUUUGUCAGUACAGUACAACCAUAUCAACCAGUGGGACCAAGUUGCGGCAUUCGGAGUCGAUCCAGCUGCGAUUGUAGGACUUAUUCAUUAAAGCCAGAGUCGGAAGUUGUGACAAUUUUGUUCGCACGAAACACCACAGUAGUGGAACUCGCCCAACAACAAAAUAUUAAGUGGACUAUCUGUCAAAAUCAGUAAUUAGUGCAGUACUGAUUCGGUGUAUGUUACUAGUUCCCGCCAUGUUUCGUUGUUUGUGUGUUGUAUGAUUCUUAACUAUAAUACAUAAACGCAAGCAAAACUCGUUGACAUUUAGUACACUUCGCGAGAAAAAUUUUACUCAUCUGUUUACGGUACACUACCUGGUAGUGCACUCUGAGCGACAUCAUUAACGCAGCA
rnacentral:sRNA from 1 species